AAUAAAUGCUACAAACAGUUUUUUUUUAUUUUAUUAUAUACACACACACAUACACACGUAUACAAUUUAUAUGUUACUAACACAUAUUUAAACUAUGGAGAAUUCGGUUAUAUCAAGUGAUGAUAUAAACCCAGGAGGUGCAUUUUUAUUUAGUGAUUCAAAUGAAACAUGUCGAGAAUUUAACAAAAUUGAAGAAUGUUCAAAAUGUUCCAGGCCCGUCGAAGAUGCUCUAGUAUUAACCUGCUGUCAUUUAAUAUGUCUAUCAUGUGCAAGUUCGGAGUUAUCAAAUAACUAUAAAAAAUUUAUGAGAGUAUACACAAAUGAACAUAAUGAAAAGCAAGGUACUUCGAGAUAUAAUAUAGAAUCAUGCUAUAACGAUUUUAAAAAUAUAGAAAAAAAAAAUAAAGGUGAUAAAAUGGAAAUAUUAAAAAAAGAGAAAAUAGGAUAUAUAAGUUGUGAUAUAUGUGACACUAAAAAUAAACUUACUGUAGAUGCUUUAGAAUUAUUAACGAAAAUUGGAUUAUUUUCGUCUAACAUUUUAUCUGUUCAUAAAUUAUAUUUAAAGACAGCUAAAAAUGAUAAUAUUGAUAACUAUGAUAUAGCAUCUGUAUAUAAUAAUGUUAAAAGACGCAACUGUAAUAAUACAAUAAAAGAUAAUAACAUAAACAAUAGAGGUAAUAAUAGCAGCAAUACAAGUGUUAAUAUGAAUUAUGUGGAUAACAGUCUAGUGUACGGUAUUAACAACCAUAACCCUUACAGUCAUAAUGCCAAUAAUUAUAACUACAAUAACUUUAAAACUAAUAAUUAUAAUUUUCAUACAAAUGAUGAUAUUAAUAAUAGUAUAAAACAACAGACAUCGAAUGAACAAGAAUUUUCACAAAGUGAUAAAAAAAUGGAUGAUACAUUAAGGGAUAUGUUUUUAAAUAAUGAUAAAUUAAAAAAAAUAUUCGAUUUAAAUAAUAAAUACAAAUAUUUAGAUGAACAUAUAGACGAUUUAAAUGCGAAUUCAUAUAUAUGUAAUAUAUGUUCGGAAAAUGAAGCUGUUGUUUAUUGUGACGAUUGUGUUGAAUAUUUAUGUUCGGAAUGUUGUAAUAUUAUUCAUGAGGAAGAAACGUUAAAAACAGUGAUAGAUAAAAAUAUAGAAAAAAAACAUAAUUUUUACAAAAUUGAUAAAAAAGCAAUACAUUUAAAAAAAUUAGUGAAGCAACCUAAAAAAUUUAUAAAUAUAACAAAUGAAGACAUAGAGUUGAUGUAUAAUAGUAGUUCAAAAGAAGAAAGUGAUAGGGGGAAUGAAAACAAGUUGAAAAGAAACCAUGUUUAUGAUACAAAACAUAAAGUUUAUGAUACAAAAUACAAAGUGUAUGAUAAUGAUGAUUCUGAUUUUGAUAAUUAUGAUAAAAAUCAUUUUUAUGAAAGAAAAAAAAAAAUUGUUAGAUAGAAAAGUAGAAGAACAAGAAAAAAUUAAUAUGUCCAAUAAAAUAAAUAAGCUAGUAAAAAAUAUGAAAAAU
rnacentral:lncRNA from 1 species